GACGAACGCUGGCGGCGUGCUUAACACAUGCAAGUCGAGCGGUAAGGCCCUUUUGGGGGUACACGAGCGGCGAACGGGUGAGUAACACGUGGGUGACCUGCCCUCAGCUCUGGGAUAAGCCUGGGAAACUGGGUCUAAUACUGGAUAUGACCUUUCCUCGCAUGGGGUUGGGUGGAAAGUUUUUCGGCUGGGGAUGGGCCCGCGGCCUAUCAGCUUGUUGGUGGGGUGAUGGCCUACCAAGGCGACGACGGGUAGCCGGCCUGAGAGGGCGACCGGCCACACUGGGACUGAGACACGGCCCAGACUCCUACGGGAGGCAGCAGUGGGAAUAUUGCGCAAUGGGCGGAAGCCUGACGCAGCGACGCCGCGUGGGGGAUGACGGCCUCGGUUGUAACC
rnacentral:rRNA from 1 species